GACGAACGCUGGCGGCGUGCCUAAUACAUGCAAGUUGAGCGCUGAAGGUUGGUACUUGUACCGACUGGAUGAGCAGCGAACGGGUGAGUAACGCGUGGGGAAUCUGCCUUUGAGCGGGGGACAACAUUUGGAAACGAAUGCUAAUACCGCAUAAAAACUUUAAACACAAGUUUUAAGUUUGAAAGAUGCAAUUGCAUCACUCAAAGAUGAUCCCGCGUUGUAUUAGCUAGUUGGUGAGGUAAAGGCUCACCAAGGCGAUGAUACAUAGCCGACCUGAGAGGGUGAUCGGCCACAUUGGGACUGAGACACGGCCCAAACUCCGACGGGAGGCAGCAGUAGGGAAUCUUCGGCAAUGGACGAAAGUCUGACCGAGCAACGCCGCGUGAGUGAAGAAGGUUUUCGGAUCGUAAAACUCUGUUGGUAGAGAAGAACGUUGGUGAGAGUGGAAAGCUCAUCAAGUGACGGUAACUACCCAGAAAGGGACGGCUAACUACGUG
rnacentral:rRNA from 1 species